CCUACGGGGGGCAGCAGUAGGGAAUCUUCCACAAUGGGCGCAAGCCUGAUGGAGCAACACCGCGUGAGUGAAGAAGGGUUUCGGCUCGUAAAACCCUGUUGUUAGAGAAGAAAGUGCGUGAGAGUAACUGUUCACGCAGCGACGGUAUCUAACCAGAAAGCCACGGCUAACUACGUGCCAGCAGCCGCGGUAAUACGUAGGUGGCAAGCGUUAUCCGGAUUUAUUGGGCGUAAAGCGAACGCAGGCGGUCUUUUAAGGCUGAUGUGAAAGCCUUCGGCUUAACCGGAGGAGUGCAUUGGAAACUG
rnacentral:rRNA from 1 species